AUUGAACGCUGGCGGCAGGCCUAACACAUGCAAGUCGAGCGAGCGGCGGACGGGUGAGUAAUGUAUGGGGAUCUGCCUGAUGGCGGGGGAUAACUACUGGCAACGGUAGCUAAUACCGCAUACCAUCAGAUGAACCCAUAUGGGAUUAGCUAGUAGGUGAGGUAACGGCUUACCUAGGCGACGAUCCCUAGCUGGUUUGAGAGGAUGAUCAGCCACACUGGGACUGAGACACGGCCCAGACUCCUACGGGAGGCAGCAGGGGGGAAUAUUGCACAAUGGGCGCAAGCCUGAUGCAGCCAUGCCGCGUGUAUGAAGAAGGCCUUCGGGUUGUAAAGUACUUUCAGUCGGGAGGCGUUACCCACAGAAGAAGCACCGGCUAACUACGUGCCAGCAGCCGCGGUAAUAC
rnacentral:rRNA from 1 species